rnacentral:lncRNA from 1 species
GAAAGAAAGUGCCAGGAAUGAAUUAGGAGCAGGUUUCUGUUAAAAAGAGAGCGUUUGAGAGAAAGGUAAAUUCGCGCUUCGCUUGCGAGUUCCACGCUCCGCACACGACUG